UCCCUGGCGGUCCGGGGGUUAGGACUCUGCACUUUCACUGCUGAGGCUGCGGGUUCGAUCCCCGGUCGGGGAA
rnacentral:tRNA from 1 species